rnacentral:misc_RNA from 1 species
GGAGAAUUUGGCGACUACAAGCCUCUCCACUCCUCUGUUGAUGCAAAGUUACAAGCGAUUUGUCAAAGCUUGGCCGACUCGCAGAAGCAGGGGAAAACCGGGGAGCGUAGUUCAGCUGAUGAUUCGAAGACAAUUCUGUCAGCUCCUUCGCAGGAGAAGAAGGAAGAUGAUUACUGUGUGAAAAGUGAAUUGAAAAGCGAGUUCGAUACUUUUGGAGUUGAUGAUUAUAAGGUGGAGAUUUCAGCAGCAUC